UCUUUGAAAAUUUGAUGAUUCUAGAAAAUUUGAGCUGAUUCUCGGAUUAGUCUAUUGAUGAUGCUUGAAAAUAAGUAAAAAAUUGUUUUAGCAGAAAAAUAACAGAAAAAAACCAAUUCCUUUGUGGGUAUGAAGAAAAAUUUUACAUAUACAAUAGUCUAUUUCCUGAUCAUUAAAAUAUACUAAAUUCAUUUUUUUUGGUUGCUUUUUGCAGAUCCAAGAGAUAAUCACUUUCAUGCUUUCAUGCUCUAUUGAUAGAUACAGAUCUUCAUCUUCAUCUCGAAAGAAAAAUUCAGAAAAAUAUCAGCCUCUUCAUGUAUAAAUUAGAAAUAAUUGUUGUAAUAAUCUCUUACUAUCUCUAUUGUAAAUGUAACUAAUAGUUAGCCAAAAGCAAAAAAUAAAAUAAAAGUACUACAUAUAAACAUAAAAAACAAAAAAGAAAAGAAAUUAGAAGAACUAAACUAGACAAAAAAUAGAGAGUACGACAUAGAAACAUAAAAACCAAUAAAAUAAGAGAGAGAGAGAGAAUAAAAACCAUAAAAUAGAGAGAGAGUUUGCAGAGUGAAUUUGGUCUGAAAUUACUUCAUAUUUAUAGAGAAAGAAAGCAAUAAUUUGGGCUCCAAAAAAUUCAAAAUUCAAAUGUGGGCUGUACUGUUGGAGCCGAAACUGCCUGCAUUCUCAAACCCAGCGGAUAAGAAUCAGAAAGAUACAUUGGGCCAAUUGAUGUGGCUCUUGGCGGGAAGCACACUAUCCUAGAAUUCCAAGCUUUAAUAUAUGUAUAGAUAGAUUGGAACACGGAAAGAAAAUAUGAGGACACAUUAAUCAAGUAGAUAUGAAAUUGACUUUCAUUGUUUCUCGAAACAUAUUUGUUGAUGUAGCCGGCGAAGCACCGAUAUUACCCUUCAUUUUCAUGCGAGUGGAAGAUCUUCCAACUCCACAAUCCAUCCUUCUCCCUGUUGAUGCCGUAAAGCCAUAUAGAAAGGGGAUCAAGAUCAUAAAAGCAAUUGGGUGG
rnacentral:lncRNA from 1 species